UCAAGUUAUUAAGGGUGCAGGGCGGAUGCCUUGGCACUAGGAGCCGAUGAAGGACGUGAUAAGCUGCGAUAAGCUUCGGGGAGUUGCACGUAAACUUUGAUCCGAAGAUUUCCGAAUGAGGAAACUCACUUAGAGUAAUGUCUAAGUAUCAUUAAGUGAAUACAUAGCUUAAUGAGGGGAACUCAGGGAACUGAAACAUCUAAGUACCUGAAGGAAGAGAAAGAAAUUCGAUUCCGUAAGUAGCGGCGAGCGAACGCGGAUUAGCCCAAACCAAUAAAGUUUUCUUUAUUGGGGUUGCGGACAUAUCAUAACGAAGAGGUAUCGUAAUUGAAGAGGUUUGGAAAGACCCACCACAGAAGGUAAUAGUCCUGUAUGUUAAACGAGAAGACUUUAGAUAUGAUCCAGAGUACCACGGGACACGUGAAACCCUGUGGGAAGCAGGAGGGACCACCCUCCAAGGCUAAAUACUACCUAGUGACCGAUAGCGUAUAGUACCGUGAGGGAAAGGUGAAAAGAACCCCGUGAGGGGAGUGAAAUAGAACCUGAAACCCUGCACUUACAAGCUGUGGAAGCACAUUUCUUGUGUGACCGCGUACUUUUUGUAGAACGGGCCAACGAGUUACGUUAAGUAGCAAGGUUAAGCACUUAAGGUGUGGAGCCGUAGCGAAAGCGAGUUUUAACUGAGCGUUCAGUUACUUGACGUAGACCCGAAACCGGGCGACCUACCCAUGAGCAGGAUGAAGCGAAAGUAAAAUUUCGUGGAGGUCCGAACCCACGAGCGUUGAAAAGCUCGGGGAUGACUUGUGGGUAGCGGUGAAAUUCCAAUCGAGCCCGGAGAUAGCUGGUUCUCCCCGAAAUAGCUUUAGGGCUAGCCUCAAGGUGAGAGAUACGGAGGUAGAGCACUGAAUGUCCUAGGGGGUAUUGCACCUACCGAAGACUAUCAAACUCCGAAUGCCGUCAUCUUAUACUUGGGAGUCAGACUGUGGGUGAUAAGAUUCAUAGUCGAAAGGGCAACAGCCCAGAUCGUCAGCUAAGGUCCCUAAAUGUAAGUUAAGUGGUAAAGGAUGUGGGAUUGCACAGACAACCAGGAUGUUGGCUUAGAAGCAGCCACUCAUUCAAAGAGUGCGUAAUAGCUCACUGGUCGAGUGAUCCUGCGCCGAAGAUUUCCGGGGCUAAAACUUACUACCGAAGCUACGGCAUCAGUAAUGAUGGGUAGGGGAGCUUCCCAUACGGGUUGAAGCAUGACCGUAAGGACAUGUGGACAGUAUGGGAGUGAGAAUGUUGGCAUGAGUAGCGAGAUGUGGGUGAGAAUCCCACAGGCCGUAAACCCAAGGUUUCCAGGGGAAGGUUCGUCCGCCCUGGGUUAGUCGGGACCUAAGCUGAGGCCGAAAGGCGUAGGUGAUGGACAACAGGUUGAUAUUCCUGUACUACCGAUAACCGUUUGAGAGAGGGGAUGACACAGUAGGAUAAGCUAAGCACACUGUUGGUUAUGUGUGCCCAAGCAUUGAGGCAGUCAAAGUAGGCAAAUCCGCUUUGAUAAUGCUGGGAUGUGAUGGGGAGCGAAAUUUAGUAGCGAAGUAGCUGAUUUCACACUGUCAAGAAAAGUCUCUAUCGAGGUUAAAGGUACCCGUACCGCAAACCGACACAGGUGGGUGAGGAGAGUAUCCUAAGGCCAGCGAGAGAACUGUUGUUAAGGAACUCGGCAAAAUGACCCCGUAACUUAGGGAUAAGGGGUGCCACCAUCAGGUGGCCGCAGAGAAUAGGCCCAAGCGACUGUUUACCAAAAACAUAGGUUUCUGCUAAGUCGCAAGACGAUGUAUAGGAGCUGACGCCUGCCCGGUGCUGGAAGGUUAAGGGGAUCUGUUAGAGCAAUCGAAGCAGUGAACUUAAGCCCCAGUAAACGGCGGCCGUAACUAUAACGGUCCUAAGGUAGCGAAAUUCCUUGUCGGGUAAGUUCCGACCCGCACGAAAGGCGUAACGAUUUGGGCACUGUCUCAACAACAGACUCGGUGAAAUUGUAAUUCCGGUGAAGAUGCCGGAUACCUGCGACAGGACGGAAAGACCCCAUGGAGCUUUACUGUAGCUUGACAUUGGGUCUUGGUACUACAUGUACAGGAUAGGUGGGAGGCUUUGAAACCAGGACGCCAGUUUUGGCGGAGCCAUCCUUGGGAUACCACCCUUGUAGUACUGGGACUCUAACCAUAGGCCAUGAAUCUGGUCUUGGGACACUGUCAGGUGGGCAGUUUGACUGGGGCGGUCGCCUCCCAAAAGGUAACGGAGGCGCUCAAAGGUUCUCUCAGUACGGUCGGAAAUCGUACGUAGAGUGUAAAGGCAAAAGAGAGCUUGAUUGCAAGACAUACAGGUCGAGCAAGGAUGAAAAUCGGACUUAGUGAUCCGGUGGUUCUGCGUGGAAGGGCCAUCGCUCAACGGAUAAAAGCUACCCUGGGGAUAACAGGCUUAUCUCCCCCAAGAGUCCACAUCGACGGGGAGGUUUGGCACCUCGAUGUCGGCUCAUCACAUCCUGGGGCUGUAGUAGGUCCCAAGGGUUGGGCUGUUCGCCCAUUAAAGUGGUACGCGAGCUGGGUUCAGAACGUCGUGAGACAGUUCGGUCCCUAUCCGUCGCAGGCGUAGGAAAUUUGAGAAGACCUGUCCUUAGUACGAGAGGACCGGGAUGGACGUACCUCUGGUGUACCAGUUGUCCUGCCAAGGGCAUGGCUGGGUAGCUAUGUACGGAAUGGAUAAGCGCUGAAAGCAUCUAAGCGCGAAGCCAACUUCAAGAUAAGAUUUCCCACCGCAAGGGUAAGACCCCAGAAAGACUAUCUGGUUGAUAGGUCGAAGGUGUAAGUGCAGCAAUGUAUUUAGCUUAUCGAUACUAAUAGGUCGAGGACUUGACCAA
rnacentral:rRNA from 1 species